GUGGGGAUGAUCAAACACGAACGCAUGUUUGCUUUUGUAGGGGGACAAAAGUCAAAUACACUGAAAAUUUCAAGAUUCAAUCUUAAAGUAAUUCCCUAACCCCUAAGACAUUCAAAAAGUCAACUUCUUGUUGAUUGAGAUAGAUUAACCAUAUACGUAAUUUUAUGGACACUUUUAGCUUAGGAUCCUCCAAUUAUAUAUUAAAAAG